rnacentral:rRNA from 1 species
CAUCCUCCAAGGCUAAAUACUCCUGACUGACCGAUAGUGAACCAGUACCGUGAGGGAAAGGCGAAAAGAACCCCGGCGAGGGGAGUGAAAAAGAACCUGAAACCGUGUACGUACAAGCAGUGGGAGCCCCACCACUAAGCCAGUGGUGAACUCCACAUACGCAUCCUUUGCUGAGGAUGCGGUUAACGGAGCGAAAGCGACGUUCAACCGCAAAAGAAGCAGAGGGGGCUUAGUGGUGGGGUGACUGCGUACCUUUUGUAUAAUGGGUCAGCGACUUAUAUUCUGUAGCAAGGUUAACCGAAUAGGGGAGCCGGAGGGAAACCGAGUCUUAACCGGGCGUUAAGUUGCAGGGUAUAGACCCGAAACCCGGUGAUCUAGCCAUGGGCAGGUUGAAGGUUGGGUAACACUAACUGGAGGACCGAACCGACUAAUGUUGAAAAAUUAGCGGAUGACCUGUGGCU